GGUGAACUCCGUGUCCCAUUCGUAAUUCUCGUCCACGGAUGUAUUCCUUCUUGCCGGAAAGGAAGAAUAUGGGAUCAAUACAAGGUCAUGUUGCUGAGAUCACCUCACCUCUACCUAUCCUGCCUACCUUGUUGCCUCCGUUUCUGGCGACGUCUGACCCGCCGUCGGUUCAUCGCGCAGGCAACUAUGGUGCUUAAGAUGACCGCCAAGGUAAGGAAGCAGGCUCCUCCAACGACUCCGGCCAUAAGGGAUUUCUGCUGAACUUCCGGGAGCUCGGUGUGCGAGGGAUAGACCCUCAUUCCUGAAAACAAUACGAUACGGUAUACAUCUGAUACUGUAAUUUUCCACCCACUCACCUGACGUAGAGAUGUUCACCGAAUUACUGGGCUCGCUGAUGUAAUCGCCGGCAAAGGCCACCAUUCGAAAUUCAUACAAGGAAUCCUG